rnacentral:sRNA from 1 species
AAAUGCUGCUCAGUUUGGGCUUGGAUGGUAACGUUUAUUUUCCUUGGCAGAGAAGCUGAUCGUUGAAGGGCAUCUAACCAAAGCGGUAGAAGAAACAAAGCUUUCAAAAGAAAAUCAGACAAGAGCAAAAGAAUCUGAUUUUUCAGAUACUCUGAGUCCAAGCAAGGAAAAAAGCAGUGACGACACUACAGACGCCCAAAUGGAUGAGCAAGACCUAAAUGAGCCUCUUGCCAAAGUGUCCCUUUUAAAAGCCCAAUUGCAGAGGUUACACAUCGAUAUUGAGAAUCUCCGGGAGGAGAAGGACAGUGAAAUCACAAGUACCAGAGAUGAAUUGCUUAGUGCCCGAGAUGAAAUUUUGCUCCUUCAUCAAGCGGCAGAAAAGGUUGCCUCUGAGCGGGACACUGACAUUGCUUCUUUACAAGAAGAGCUUAAGAAGGUGAGAGCUGAGCUUGAGCGGUGGCGGAAAGCAGCGUCUGAAUAUGAGAAAGAAAUCACAAGUCUGCAAAACAGUUUUCAGCUUAGAUGUCAACAGUGUGAGGACCAGCAGAGAGAAGAAGCA